ACCCAAACAUGGCAUCACUUGAUGACGUGUGCCGUGAUGCAGUUAAGAGAUAGCUUCUGUUUCUGGGCUGCCUGAGCAGACCAAGUCCUGGGGCUCCUUUCUUAGACUGGGGAUGGCAAUUAGACCACCAUUAGGUUGGCUUCUUGAUCUUUGGCAGCUUUUAUCAGGAGUACAGUGGCCUGAGAACACAGUUUUGAGGAAACACCAGUAGGAGUCUUGUGGAGAACAUCUUAGGUUUUAUUCAUCAGUGUCAAACAAAAAUGGAUAGCACCAUACAGAAAUCUGCCCAAAAUACUGUUUAAAUUACAGUUGUGUCAAAGAAAGUCACCUGCAGUGGCCUGUACCAUUAAUCUCACAAUUCUAAAUAGAUACUGUCUGAAGGUGAGAUUUUUUUGUUUAUUUCUUUACUUGUUUGUGUGUGUGUCCUUAAGUCCUCUCCUUUUCUGCCAGAAAAGCCCCCAUGCUUGUGGAAAUGUAGAAUUUUUGACCAGUGCUGAGCAGCAAAAUUUUCUCUAGAGUGAAUUUCCAACAGUAGUCUCAUGUGACAUUGAUGUAAUGACUGUGUCAAAUUUUAGUCAUGAAAUUUGGAGAUUUCCUUUCAGGAUGUGCAAAAUUAAGAAAUGGUAACUCUUGGUGGUGAACUUUAACGUGCUCCACACAUAAUGAGGAAAAGUAGAUGUUCAUAAUGCUGUUGUUAUGGGAGCAAAAAGUGAGAAAAGCUCAUGUUUACUUAAGAAAGUGGAAUUAUUUUACAAUGUGUAGAACGGAGGAAAGCAGUAGAGACUGGCAAGGUUGAAUUUCCUUUCUUGUAAGCAUGGUAUGUAACAGGAUAUACGUUCUCAGGAUAAUGCGUUUGUAUAGGCAGCUAUUACUGUUGCUAUCGUGAUAGGAUAUAUAUUGCUUUGUGUACUGCAUUAUUAGAAGGACACAGUAUGUACUAAUACAUAGUUGGAUGAGCAUGUUUUCUGCUUGAUGAUCUUCAAGAAGACAACUGGUUGAGGUUAAAGAGGUUUCAGAGUGUGAAUGGAUAAUUAAGACAAUUUGCCAUCUGCCAAGCAAGAAAAAGAACAAUCAAAAUAGAAUCAUACACUCCAAUGGAGUAGCACAGUUAUAGCAGGCAGCAAUUAUACCUGUUGUCCCAGUGAUUAUUAUUUCAUUAGGCUCAAGACUGAAAUGAUACUUUUGCUGAUGUAGAAAAUUGUGGCUUCUAAGUAAGAAGUCUCACAGUGCAUAUGGACAGCUGCUGUCUAUUUAUCACACACAAGAGAAAGGAUAUUGCAUAUAAGAAAAAAUGCUUUUUUUUAUUAGUUUUUCUUAUAAAAUCAGGUCUAUCUCUCUACCUUUAGUUAGUCUUUAUGUUUAUGUAAAGAUAUUCCUAGGUAAUUUCAAAUGCAGGCAUAACUAGUAACAUGUUUAGAAUUGAGGUCGACUUGAUUAGUAUUCAAACCUGAUCAAUUUGUAGUUUGACCCAGAACCAUAUAUAAUAUCCAGAAUAUUAAAUCAUUGAGCCCUUACGGAGCUGAGACGUUUACAUGAGAUAUGAACCAGAAAGAUUUACAUGAGAUAUGAACCCUUCUGUGCGUCAUUAACGAAGGCAGAUUUUAUUGAAUCACUGUAUUUAACUUUUAGACUUGGAUACUCAGAGACUGGACUGUGCAGUCAUGGAUACUGUAAUAAGAGUUUUAUGCUUCUGAGAGAAGGGUGGCUUUACAAAUAAUUGUUCUGUAGCCUCAGUGCCCAGGAACCAUUGAUGAAAAUAAACAAUAAAAAAUGAAUAAUCUCUACAGAUGAUAGAUGUGUAACAGUCAAGCAGCAGUUAUGCUUGAAUGUUGGGAGAAGGAUAGUAACUGUGCUUAUUCUUGCACACUCACUCUUGAUUGGAAGGUAUCUCUUUUUCAGAUGGAGCAGGAGGAAAAUGAACACCAUGUCUAUGCAUUAGUUCUUGUGCUGUGUUUCAGCUGCAGCAUGAUAUUUACAUUGUGAAAGUUAUCAUCUGUCUUGACACGCUGUAAUAUGCUAGAACACAUGGAAGGCAGUGUAAUACAACAUGGUAUAUCAUUAAUCUGUUAUACCAAGCUGAAAAAUUCAAAAUAGAGAUAAACAUCUACCUUCACUAAAUAAAUGAUCUUUGGAAAAUAAUUAAGCAGAUUAUCCACAAAUUUACCACCUGUAUGUCGCUAAUGCAAAAAUUAAUGACUGUGGCUUUUGACCAUCUGUUUUACAAAUAUUCUGGCAGGUCUAAGUACCCAACCCUAAAGAGGGAUUUUGGAAAACAAACCUUUUAGGCUAGUUGUCUUUCUAUAUACCUUAAGUAAAAGUUUAUGAAAGAUUCUAAUCUAUUUUUAUAUGUGUACAGAUAAUGUAGUAGUAAUGUCUAAAUAUUUACCAAGAUACCUACCAUAAAAAUAUUCAAUGCUAAUUAAGUCAGUACAGAAACUGUUAGAAUUUCUACCUGCAUACUUGGUUGUCAUGGCUUUCGGAAUCCAUUUCAGAAUCUUGGUUGAUAAUCUUUGGUAAAAGGAAUUUUAGGUUGUCAUUAAGAAAAUGCCAUGGACCAUCUACGCUGUGGGAAAACAAAAAUCCUUAUCCUGUAUUAUCCAUUAAUAUAUAAUUUUUUUUACUAUCUUGAAAGUCAAGGGUACAUUUAAACUCCUUCUCAAGUACAGAAACUUUUAAUGUGUAAAUUUGUAGUGUAUAGGAGGGGCAAUAUCCAUUUAUGUCUUAACUUAAAAAAAAUUAUUGAAAAUUUAUAAUUUUUUGCAACGUUUCAGUGUUUUAAUCCAGAAAAUCUAAUAUUUUAUUUCCAAAGUUUUUUCAGAAUUCAUGUUUCUAUUCUCUUUGUGAGGAUAGAAACUUGAAUGGAAGGAAUAAAAACAAUCUGGUGCCAAGAGGAAACAACCUGGGCUGACCAGCUGUUUGAGUCCACUGAUUUUCCUUCCUUAUAGAUAAAUUCUAUCAGCAAAUUCUUUUCUGUAAAACUGAUGUAAUAGUUGACACAGACACCAUUUAGAGGAUGCAUUGAAGGGAACUCUAGACUGAAACUCAUUUUGGUGGGUCCUGUAAGGUUACCUCACAUCUCCAAAGUAACUAUACUACCAUAUUUGAAUUAGGAACUGCUCUCUCACAGAAAUCUACUAGGAAUGAUGAGUUACUUGAAUUUUAGCAGUAUAAAAAUAUUUUUCCAUAGUCUCAGUUUACUUAUUUUCCUUUUCACUCUUAUACUGUAUUUUCACAUAAUUACUCUCUUAUGUCCACUCUUACUGAUUCCAAUUAGUGUGCAAGUUUCUUACCACAGUGUGGGUUUACUGUUGCCAGUCAUUCAGGUGAUUAGCUCAUUUAUAACCAGCUGUUUUUAGAGAUAUGUAUAACCUUUUUUUUUUUUCUUUUCAGAUAGAAAAAAGUAAAGAUAACUUUACUUCUAGAUAACAACUUAAAAAAAAAAGUCAAUUUUGCAGCACAGAUAGUACUGGUCUGUUUUUCUCUGCUUUAUUUGACUUUAGACUGUUCUUUUUCCAUGUGGUAUUUGUUUCUGUUAUUUCACAGAGACAAAUUACUGCUGCUAAUUAGUACAGAUUUUCAGUUUCUUUCUUAUUAAUUUGUUUAAUUUUUUUGUUUGAAUGCUUAUGAGUCUGCUCUAAUAGUUCUGCAAUGAAAAAAAAGGUAAAUUCACCAAAAUCUUUCAGAUAUCAUUCAGCUACUAAGGAAGUGUGUGGGGGGAAUUUGUGGAAAUGUUGACUCAGGGGCACUUAAUGCUAAGUUUCAACUUCAAUCUAGUGAAGUCCUGAGGACUGCUUCCUCUUCUGUUUAUAAGAACUCAAGCCUUUAAUGGAAGUAGCUGAAGCCUGAGAUGUUGCUAUUCUGCUUCUGGUUUGGGACUUGGACUCUAGCAAUAUACAAAGAACUGUGAAAUUUGCUAGAUGACAAUCAAGGAAGAGAUAUAAGAGAACACUUUAUUAUUCCUUGCUCGUGCUUUAUGUCUGGUGGUAUGUAGCUAACUAACAUGGCUGCCCAGCCUUUUUGCAAUGUUGGUAUGUCUUUCUAGUUUAAAGUUCUGGGGUUAUUUACUUAAAAUGUUUCAAAAUUUGAAUUAAUUAAAAAAAGUGCCAGCAAGAUUUGAUUAGCUAGACUUGUGGUUUCUUUGUUUUUUUUUUUUUUUAAGUAAGAAUAUAGAUAUUUAAAUUCAUUAUCUUCAGUGGAGUUGAAUAAUGGAAAUUAAGACAACAGUAUGUUUAUACAUACUGCACUUCAGAUGUUCCCUAUAUCCAUACUUACGUGCAAGAAAAUAUUUCUCUGUGGAGACAGCAUGUUUUUUUGUGUAUAAAAAUGACUGUUAUUUCUCGUUUUCCUUUCUCCCACUUCUCUUCACAGCCUAACUGGUCUAAUACUGUUAGGAACCAUGUAUUUAUGACUAACUUCAGUAAAUGUAGUGGUGUUUUGAAACAUUUGCAUUAUCUUACCCUAGCGAUAAAGUAUGCAUUCAGAUAUAUACUAUGUCAUCAUAAGACACAAAUUGAAGAAGAAAAUAAGACAAUAAUUUUAAUAAUUUGAGAAUACCAUUUUAUAGUUCUUGAAGGACAACAGAGAUGUUUCUUCACUGUAUAACAGUAGAUAGAAAAGUGUCUUUCUUUGUUCUGUACUGUGUGCAAGACUUCAGAACUGAAACAGUAAGAUUUCAGAAAUUUUGGUAACAUCUUUCAGUUUUAAUUUGUAUCAGUUUUAAUUUGCAGUUCCAAUGCAUUUAACUCAUUAAAUGUUUAUUAUUACAUCAGAAAUAUAUCCAUACAUAUUUACAUAUUUUGUAAGCUAAUAUUCCUAAUGUUAAUGCUGUUUAUUUACAAACAGGAAGGCAUUUAAUGGGAAUGUUAUUUUUUGACAUGAAAUAAAGGCAUUAAUUCAUCUUUGUAAAUUUGAUAGGCAACUACGUAGUCAGCAGCUAUGGCUUAUACCCCCCAAAUUAAAAAUAUAUAUGUAAAUAUCCUGAGUAAGAACAAAAUAAUUUUAUAAUGCUCUUUUCUGAAAAUUUAAGAUAAUUUAGGUUUGUAUUGGUUAAUUACAAGUAAUUUUCAGGAAACUUUCUGUUGAACAAUAAGGAGAUCUGGUAAGAGAUGUGGAGGUUGGGGGCUGUCUUGGGCAAAGUGACCACAACAUGGUAGAGUUCUCAAUUCUUGGUGGAGCCAGAAGGGGAAAAGCAAAACUGCUACCUUGGGCUUCCGAAGGGUGGACUUUGAAUUGUUCAGGAGACUAGUAGGGAGAGUCCCUGGGGAUUCAGUCUUAGAGAGUAAAGGGGUCCAAGACAGCUGGUCGCUCUUCAAGAAGGAAGUCUUAAAGGUAUAGGAGCAGGCUGUCCCCCUGAGCCACAAAAUGAGCUGGCAUGGAAGAAGACUGGUGUGGAUGAGUAGUGAGCUAUUCUUGAGGCUCCAGGAGAAAGAGAGAAUCUACCUCCUGUGGAAGAAGGGAUGGGCAACUCAGAGAGAAUACAAAGAAGUUGUUAAGAUGUGGAGAGAGAAAAUCAGAAAGGCAAAAGCCCAGCUUGAACUCAACCUGGCCGCUGGGGUAAAAAGGAACAAGGAACUCUUUUACAAAUAUAUCAACAGUAAGAGGAGGACCAGGGAGAAUCUCCAUUCUUUACUGGAUGAGGCUGGGAAUGUGACCACUGAGGAUAAGGAGAAGGCAGACGUUCUGAAUGCCUCCUUUAUGUCUGACCUGGUAGCCUUGGCUGGGGAGCAAACCAAACUCCCCACAAUUCAGGAGGAAACAGUCAGAGACCUGCUACUCCAACUGGACUGCCAGAAGUCCAUGGGGCUGGAUAAGAUUAACCUCAGAGUGCUGAGGGAAAUGGCAGAGGUGAUAGUUGAGCUGCUUUCCAUCAUCUAUCAGUGCUCCUUGUUGACUGGUGAGGUCCCAGAAGACUGAAGGCUUGCCAGUGUGACUCCCAUCUACAAGAAGGGUUGUAAGGAGGAUCCAGGGAACUACAGGCCUGUUAGCCUGACCUCGGUGCCAGGGAAAGAUAUGGAGCAGAUUGUCUUGAGGGAGAUCACGCGGCAUGUGUGAGUCAGCUGGGGGAAAAGGCCUAGCCAGCAUGGGUACAUGAAGGGCAGGUCCUGCUUAACCAACCUGGUUUCCUUCUAUGACCUAGUGACCUGUCUGGUGGAUGAGGGAAAGGCUGUUGAUGUGGUACACUCUUGACUGGAUAAGGAACUGGCUGAAGGGCUGGGCCCAGAGAGUGGCGGUGAAUGGAGUUAAAUCCAGCUGGCGACCGGUCACGAGUGGUGUUCCCCCAGGGUCGGUGCUAGAGCCUGUCCUUUUCAAUAUCUUUAUUGAUGACCUGGAUGAGGGCAUUGAGUGCACCCUCAGUAAGUUUGCAGAUGACAUCAAGUUGGCUGGAAGUGUUGAUCUGCCUGGGGGUAGUGAGGCCCUACAGAGGGAUCUGGACAGGAUGGAUAGCUGGACUGAAGCCAGUGGGAUGGGAUUCAACAA